rnacentral:rRNA from 1 species
GACGUGGGGGGCCAGCGUUGCUCGGAAUUACUGGGCGUAAAGGGUUCGUAGGCGGUGCGGCAAGUCGGGAGUGAAAUCUCUGGGCUUAACUCAGGGGCUGCUUCCGAAACUGCCGUGCUUGAGUGCGGGAGAGGCGAGUGGAAUUGCAGGUGUAGCGGUGAAAUGCGUAGAUAUCUGCAGGAACACCCGUGGCGAAGGCGGCUCGCUGGACCGCAACUGACGCUGAGGAACGAAAGCUAGGGGAGCAAACAGG